UUCACGAAAAAUGCCCCCAGAUAGCCCAGCGUGCGGCGUUCCCUCUGUACGGCCCCUUCCGCACCGUCCCUUCCCUACCGUAACGCCCUCCGAACACCCCUACUGUUGCCUCACUCCCUCAUACUGUAUCGCUCCCUCAUCAGUCCCACUCACACUGCAGCGCUCCCACAGUACAGCUCUCCCUCGGUAUUUACCACCCACUGUGUUCCGUUCCCUCUUCACCACCCCUCCCAUUGUGUUCCGCUCCCUCUUUACCACCCCUCCCAUUGUGUUCCGUUCCCUCUUCACCACCCCUCCCAUUGUGUUCCGCUCCCUCUUUACCACCCCUCCCAUUGUGUUCCGUUCCCUCUUCACCACCCCUCCCAUUGUGUUCCGCUCCCUCUUUACCACCCCUCCCAUUGUGUUCCGUUCCCUCUUCACCACCCCUCCCAUUGUGUUCCGCUCCCUCUUUACCACCCCUCCCAUUGUGUUCCGUUCCCUCUUCACCACCCCUCCCAUUGUGUUCCGCUCCCUCUUUACCACCCCUCCCACUGUGUGGCGCUCUCUCAUCGCCCCCUCCCGCCGCUCCUCCCAAGGGUUUUGACUGGAGUUAGGGCAGUGGAUAUUGACUCCAUGGACUCCAAUAAAGCAUUUGACUGGUAUCUUCAAGAAAGGCCGAUUCAGUUUAUUGAGAGCGCGAACCAGGCUUCCCCGGCCCCCUGAGCCACACCGCCCGGUCACCCACGGGUUACCCCUAGCCUAAAAGGACUACGGGAGGCAACCCCCACAUAUGGAGGGAACUCUCUUACAGGGGGCGCCAGAAUCGAUCUCCGAGCGGUAUUAACUGUUCCGCUACCGUAGCGCCCCAAGACGCUUGGUCUUCCGGAUUCAGCUCUGGGUAGUGGUGUUAUUCUGAAGUGAAGUCCGUGGUCAGUUCUGCAGGGAUCCGCGCUGAGAUCCCUGUUAUUUGAGACGUGUCUACCGCACGGUAGCCGGUUCGAUUCCCGCUGCUGGAACGUUCGCCCUGUGACCGUGUAGGUUUCCGCCGGGAGCCCCGGUUUCCUCUCACGGUCCAAAGACGUAUGAGUUCCGGGUUAAUUGGUCACGUGGGUGUAAUUGGGCCUGUUACCCUGCUGUUUCUCUACGUAAAUUUGGACAAAUAAAUUGAUAGAAAAGGGAGGUGGUUACACACAAAAUGCUGAAGAAACUCAGCAGGUCAGGCAGCACCUAUGGAGGGAGUUAAACACGUGUCCCCGCUUUACACCACUUCGCUUUUACAAAAGACCUACAUUAGUAACCAGUUUUCGCAUUACAAAGAGGAUUUUCACUUUUACGAAAAUUUUUCCCAUAUUAAUUAAUGGUUAUUCACCUUACGCCAUUUCGGAUUAAGAAACGUUUCAUGGGAAUGCUCCACCUUUGUAAAGGGGGGGGGGGAACACCUGUAAACAGUUAAUGUUUCUGCCCGAGACCCUUCAUCUUGGACUGAAAGUCACUCUUUUCCCCUCUGUAGAUGCUGCCUGACCUGCUGAGUUCGUCCAGCAUUCUGUGUGUGUUGCUCUGGAUAUCCAGCAUCCGCAGGAUGUAGGCGGGCGGGUCAGUGACACCAAAAUUGGCGGAGACGGACAGUCCCGGGAUAUACUGUACAUCAGUUGCAAAUAUGGAUAGAGAAUUGGCAGCAGGAGGUUAAUAUGAGGCGUUGUACUUUGGGAGGUCAAAUGGAGGAAAGUGGCAGGACCCUGAAGGUGUGCCUCUCCCUCCCCUCUGGCCUCUUCCCUCUUGCCUUACCUGCCUAUCUACUCCCCUAGACGCUGCCUGACCUGCUGAGUUCCUCCAGCAGUUUGUGUGUGUUAUUCUAGAUUACCAGCAUCCGCAGAAUCUCUUGUUUUUACAAUGUGUUUAGUGCAGUAUUACUUUCCUUAAAACCAAUAGGAGUGUUGGCACUCAGGUGCCCCCUGGGGGUGGUACACCACAACAAUGAUUUGGGGGCUUCCUCACCCAAUGUGAUCCCUUCCCCUCAGUUGUGGUCCUGCCCCUCUGAGCCCUUGAGGUGGCUGAAUCAAGCUUCAGGAUAUCCCUCAGCACUGAGCACAUCUAUGUGAAAUGCUGUCGCAGGAAAGUAACAUUGAUCAUCAGGUACCUCCACCACCCAGGACGUGCUCUCUUCUCACCGCUGCCAUCAGGAAGAAGGUUUGUUGAAUGCCCAAGUUGGUGUGGUCCUGUUAUUACUGAGUACGCCCACAAGACAAUGAAUCUCAGGGUUGUGUACGAGGACAUGAUAAUUUACUUUGAACUUGGAGUGUAGUCACGCAGCCUGGAGCGCACCGGUCAGCAGCUUUCUAUUGACAUCUCGCUGUGUUGCAGACCAACAGGUAUUAGGCAUACCCAAGGGCACCUUUCACAGGUUAUAGAUCUGGGCACUACGGUGGCCAUGUGACACUAUUCCAGCUCCAUCGUAAGAGUUCAUAGUUCAGUCCCGGCGUCCUCUGUACGUUCUCCACAUGGAAUGCGUGGGCCUUCUCCCGGGUGAUCUACUUCCCUCCCACAGUCCAAGGGCCUACUGGGCAGGUGGAUUGGCCAUUGUAAGUUGUCCUGUGAUUAGGUUGGGGUUAAAUCGGGGUUUUGGGGGGUUGCUGGGGUGGGAUAGCUCAAAGGGCUGGAAGGGCCUACUCUGCACUGUAUCUCUAAAUAAAGUAUUAGUCUUGUGAGAGAAAUUGAUGAAGUAUCUGUUCAGAGUCUGUUUUCCAGGUAGAAAUGUCAAGCACUGAAGGUGAGAGGGUGAAAGGUCGAGUAGUGGGUGCCUGGGACAGGCUGGUACUGGGGCUGGACACCAUACUGAUGCAAAGAGCCCUUUGGACAAGUGCAUGAAAUGGAUUCUGCCCAGCUUCCAGAAUGUACCUUCUUCUCUUUGCUACCAUCAUGGCGGAGGGACAGGAGCCUGAAGACACAACACAAUGAUUCAGGAACAGUUUCUUCCCCUCCACCAUCAGAUCUCUGAAAGAACAUUGAACCCAUGUCCUCCAAGAGGACCACACCCUUGCCGUAGGGUUUGGACGCUUGCGUGCCUCAAUGAUCCAGAGAGCUGUGUUGGAUGGAGUCAGGGCCUUGUGCUUUGGCUCUUGGGAGGGUCACCCAUGCCAAAGAGGUCGAAGGGUAGAGGCCAGACUUAGAGUGGCCCACUUUUUUUGGGGGUCAGCUGAGGGCUAACAACCCUGACUGGCAAAACAAAAUUGUUGUGGAAACAGCAAUGGAGAAUUCUACAUCUGAGUGUGAAGGUAUUCGAGUCUCCACCCGGGACUUGCAUGACUGACAGCAGUGAAAACCGAGAGGAAGCUCCUGACACGAUGAAGACACCAGAGAUGGAGGAGCUUUGCUGCCCGAAACACCAGCAGUGUAACAGGCAGUAAGUAAAUCUUUCUUUUAACGACCCUGACCUGGAGUUACACGCUGAAUUUGGUUCUUUGCGGGAAUGGGACCCAUUCUCUGGGUUUCAGGACUGGCCACUGUUUGGCACGCCAAGGGUUCGGCCUGAGAUUUCGGCUCGGAUUUGGAAGCCUAGGAUCUCGGGGCUCUGGAGCCAGGUGGUUCGAGGGAUGGUGUCACGUCAAGAGGCCCGUGUGUCAUCAGGGGAGUCGGGGUAUCUGCUGUGGGCCUGAAGACCCAGGAUCUUUGUGAUCUUCAGGCACAGAGCUCAAAAAAAGCGACGUAACUGACUUUUAACAUCGUAAACCAGGGAGCUGUUUGUUAUGUCUCCCUGCUCGCUGGGAGAAUGGAGACUCCCCUUUCUCGCUUACUAGGGAGAGAGAGGAUCUGUGGUAUGUCGAAUGCCGGGUGAAAUGUGAAGUCUCUGGGGUAGCUGCAAGUCUGUGUCUUUGCUGUUGCUCACGCUGAGAGCUCGGUGACGGACGCCGAUGCUUUCUUUUGCUGGUGAGGGGAAGGGGUAUUGUUUCUUGCUGCUGCUUAUGUGUGGGAGGGAGGGGAGCUGGGGUUCUAACAUUCAGGUGUCGUUCAUUCUUUGGGGGGGGAACUACUGUUUUCAUGGAUGUUUGUGAAGAAAAAGAAUUUCAGAAUGUAUAUUGCAUACAUUUCUCUGACAUUAAAUGUACCUUUGAAAUGCCAGUGAUAUUAAACCUAAUUCUGAUUCCAAUGCCAUUGUGGUUGGCACCUUCACUGUGAGCUGGAGGGCCUGCUCCUGGACCCUCUCGUCCGAGAUUCCCCUGAGACUGGGAGUGUGUACACGCAGCUGAGCAGAGUGGAAUGGCGUUGCGGUCAGUGGGCCGCAGGACCUGUUCCAACACCCACCAUCUAACUUACGCACAGCCCUCAUGACCUUCUCUACCACUCUGCCUUUGACUCCUCAGGAGCGAAGGUCCAUGUGGAUGUGGGCCGGCGACUCCCCCAGUGAGUCUGGAGUUCCAGGCCUUCCAUUUCGUUGAGUCUGGAGUCAAUGUCAAAGGUCAGAGCCUGAAGCUCAGUUGGAAGUCAGGGGCUGAUGGCCUAGGUUGUGGGCCUGCCAAUUCACUGGAGGGUGGAGGCCCACAGGAGGUCUGUCUGUCUGGGUGUGGGUGAGAGGGAGGGACAGCGAGGGAAAAGGUGGUUGUUUCAAAGUUAUUUUGUUGUUGUGGCUUCUAUCGUUCUGCUGAAUACCGUUGGCCUGUUAAUAUUGGCACCAGAAUGUGUGGCAGGCAACUCUUGUAAGCUGCCCCCUUGGGUUGUGUUCAAAGUUCAAAGUAAAUUAAUUAUCCAAGCACAUAAACUGUAGGUCACCAUAUACACCCCGAGAUUGGCUCACGGAAAGUAAAAAGGAACACAAUGGAAUCAAUGUAAAACCAGACGUCAAAGACGGACAAACAACCAAAGUGUAAAAGACAAUAAACUGUGCAAAUACAGAAAGAGAAAAAGACAAAAUAACAACAAUAAACAAGCAAUAAAUAUUGAGAACGUGAAUUGAACAGUCCUGGGAAGUGAGUACUUGGUUUAUGGAAUCGGUUCAGAGUUGAGGUGAGUGAAGUUAUCCUCGCUGGUUCAGAAGCCUGAUGGUUGCAGGGCAAUAACUGCUCCUGAACGUGGUGGUGUGCGAGCUAAGGACCGUAAUAAAAUGAAAGACCACACCCAACGGGACCUAACAACCAGUGUGCAAAAGUCAACAGACUAUGCAAAUACAAAGGAAAAAAUACACAAACAAUAAAUAAAUAAACCAGCAGUAAAUACGGAGAAGAUGAGUUGAAGGUUCUUUGAGAGUGAGUCUGUAGGUUGUGGAAUUAGCUCAGUGAUGUAAGUAAGUCAGAAGUAAAAGAGGUGGUUCUGUGAACUGCCUGGAGGACAUCACCACUGGUCUCAUUGUUCACUGGUGUUACCCCGAAGCCCUUGCCCUGUUCAGCCUUCCCUGUAACUCAGAGCCUCAAGUCCUGGCAACAUCCUUGUAAAUUUUCUCCGAACACUUUCAAUUUUAUUGACAUCUUUCCCAUGGGUAGAACUACUCGAUACUCCAAACUAGGCCUCACUAAAUCUUAUAUAAUGUCAACAUAACAUCCUAAGGCCUGUACUCAAUACUCUGAUUUACAAUUUACUUGUAAACUUUCGUCUCUCUGUUCUGCAGCACCUGCCAGCCAAUCAAGAGACCCACUUGUAAUCUUGGUCAGACCUCAGCACUGUGCACCACGCCACCAAUUGUGGAGUCUCUCACAAACUUAUCAGCCAGACCUUGUAUGCUCUCGUCCGCAUCGGAAUCACAGGAUGUUAAAAAGCUGCAGGAAUUUGCCAACUCAGCAUCAAGGUCAUCUUCAAAAGGUGAUGCCUCAAAAAGGCAGCCUCCAUCAUUAAGACUCCCAGCGCCCAGGACGAGCCCUCUUCUCAUUGCUACCUUCAAGGAGGUGGCACAGGAGCCUGAAGACAAACGCUCAACGAAUAAGAACACCUUCUUCCCCUGCAUCAUCAGAUUUCUGAAUGGACAAUGAACCCAUGUACACUACCUCACUGUUUUUAUACUUAUUUAACUCCGGAGCGAAGGUUCCCGAGUUCGAAUCCAAUCGGGCCGCUCCCGGUUUUCCAUCCGUGCCAGUCGAGUGUUGAGCUUGCAGCUCGGUCUCGUAAGAAAAAACUGUGAAAAAGGAUGUGGGGGACCACUCACAGAAUCUCUCCUCCAAGACACCCACUUGAAAAGCUGAGGCUCUGGCAGAGUAUGGCACACAAAAAAAUUACAUAUAUUUCUUAUUGUAUUGUACAGUUUUUAAAGUUAUCAUGCAUUACAAUGUGUUUCGAGUAAGAAUGACUGCGCUACAGAACCCGCGUGGCGAAACAUUUGAAGUGGAAAAGCCGCGGCCCUGGGGCAGUUCCGCUCUCUCGACCUCAGAAGCCCUGUUCCCGUGAUACGAAUGAUCAUCACCUUGUUUACACUGGAUUACUGUGGCGUCUUCAGUGCCUCGCCACGCUCUUCGCUCUCCCCGAAGCAUUGAAGAACCGCCUUCUCACUCUCGGUCUCACCCGCCCAGAGAACCGGAGCCGACUUCGCACACCAGGAAAGGCACGUCCCUAUCUCACCGGGGCACCAAGCCAGCCCAGAUACCCUCACCCGCUCUAACCCGCCUGUCGAAGCAGUGUGGCUGUUGUCUCACGCAGGGCUGAGAGUCCGGUGAGGACCAGAGGUCGAUAAGCUGACCCGAGGGGGACACGGCGAACCCUUUCACCAGAGGUGCUACCCCUUUCUGGACACCUCAUACACCCCAAUGUACCGCUGCUGCAAAACAACAAACACUACAACAUAUUCCAGUGAUAAUAAACCUGAUUCUGAUUUCUAAUGAAGAUGGCAUUAGUGGAUCCCUGCUGGAUAUCACUGGUCACAGGCCUCCAGCUUGAGAAACACAUCUAUCCUAUCCCCUCUCUGACUCCUGCCAAUACAGAAUACUUUACUGUGCCCACCUUCUAACCUACUCGCAGAUCAAUCUAACCCUUCCCUGCCAGCAUUGUUGAGCAUCCUUCAGUGAUUCAAGUUUAGUCUGUGCUGUAUUCCUUUGUAUUUACUGUAGGCUCCCGUAAGAAAAUGAAUCUCAGGGUAGUACAUGGUGGCAUAUGUGUACUUUGACGGUAAAUUUAUUUUGAACUUUGAACUUUAAACGCCGGCCGAGGGCUGCAGUGCAGCCAGUGACCGCCAGGCGGCGGCGGACACCACAAACCAAAGGGGCCGAACAGCGAAGUCAUCGCCUUUCACUCUCGCCCUGUUGCUGACCAAGUGCCGCUCCCUCGAACAGAGUGCAAGCUCAGGAUGAGCCACCCCCACCCCAGCAGCCUUUCUCAUAACUCAUUCCAGGAUGCGGGCGUCACCAGCAUUGUGUUCCCGUUCACCAUUGUCUUCCUCUUGGAGCAGCCGCCGUGCAGGAGAGGGGGCAGCGGGAAUUGCACCCAGUCUGCGAUAAUAGUUCGCAGCUUGGCAAUGUGGGCAGCUGGGGGCGGGGGAGUAAUGUCCCUUUCCCCCUUGUCCUUCCCGCUCACGAACACUGCCUCGCUAUUCCUCUGCGGCGGUUUAUUUUUCUAGAUUAUGGCAGUUUUUAUAUGUUUUGCACUGUACUGCUGCCGCAAAACAAUACACUUCACGACAGUUGUCAGUGAUAAUAAGCACCUACAAGAGUCACGGCCACAAGAAAGUACUGUAUCAUCCAGUCCUGCCAACCGUGACCGAGCUCUCUUCUCGCUGCUGCCAUCGGGAAGGGGGUACAGGGGCCUCAGGACCCACACCACCAGGUCCAGGAACUGUUAUUACCCCUCAACCAUUGGGCUCUUGAAAUAAGGGGGAAAACCGUGACCAGGUGGGUUUCCUCCGAGUGUUUCAGUUUCCUCCCACAGUCUAAAGACACACCAGUUGGUCAUUGUAAAUUGUCCUGUGAUUAGGCCAAGGUUACAACGGGGGUCGCCCUGUGUCUCAAUAGAUAAAUAAAGUUUGUUCUUUUUUUUAUAUUUGCACAGUUUGUCCUCUCUUGCACCUUGGCUAUUUGUCAGUCUUUGUGAAGAGUUUCUCAUGAACUCUGUUGUAACUCUCUGUUCCCUGUGAAUGCCUGCAAGAAAAUGAAUCUCACAGUUGUCUAUGGCGACACACACGUAUUUUGAAAAUUAAUCUCAGGGUUGUAAAUAAUGACAUACACAUAUUUUGAUAAUAAAUUUACUUUGGACUCUGAAAUGUUUGUGACUGUUUACGUUGGAGAAUUGAGGUAGACACACUCCAGGGAGAUGCCCAUUGGCCAGAUAGUACAACUGGGUGUGAUGGUUUACAUAGGAAAAAUAGUGCAAGGAAUUGUACAGGCCCUUUGGCCCACUAUGUCUGUCCUGAUCCCAAAGUCAAUCCAGACUAAUCCUAUCAUCCUGCACAUAUUCUCUAUCCCUCCGUUUCCUGUAUGCUUGUGUGUCUUUGUAAAUCCUUCUUAAAUAUUGACAUUGGAUCUGCCUCCACCACCUUUCUAGGCAGCCACCACUCUCCGAUAAACAACUUGCCUUAUACACAUUAUUUAAGCUUCCCCCUUCUCACUGGAAAGCUGAGCCCUCUAGUAUGUAACAUUUCUACCCCAGAAAAAACACUCCGACCCUCCACUCUAUCUCCAUACAGGAUCAAAGUCAGAAUCACGUGUCGUGAGAUUUGUUUUGUGACAGCAGUACAAAGUGAUACACAAUACUGAACACCUAACAUUACAUAGGUGUACAAGAUAAUGAGGGGCAUUGAUCGUGUGGAUAGUCAGAGGCUUUUUCCCAGGGCUGAAAUGGCUAGCAUGAGAGGGCAUAGUUUUAAGGUGCUUGGAAGUAGGUACAGAGGAGAUGUCAGGGGUAAGUUUUUUACGCAGAGAGUGGUGAGUGCGUGGAAUGGGCUGCCAGCGGUGGUGGUGAAGGCGGAAACGAUGGGGUCUUUUAAGAGACUCCUGGAUGGAUUCAUGGAGCUUAGAAAAAUAGAGGGCUGUAGGUAAGCCUAGGUAGUUCUCAGGUAAGGACAUGUCCGGCACAGCUUUGUGGGCCGAAGGGCCUGUAUAGUGCUGUAGGUUUUCAAUGUUUCUAUUAUAAUUGUACAUAUUGUUAGGGCAUAUUCUGGAGUUAGGGUAUAUAACAAAUAUUAAAUUCAAUAGCGGCCAUUCUUCAGACAUGGAUUGUAGAUGAAAUUUAAAAUGCAGCGCUGGACAAUAGUUUUCCUGGAGCUGUGGACACUAGUUAACCUGGACAGAGGUGCAGCGUCUGAACCCUGGAACACUCCAAGCUGAAAUAGUGUUGUACUAACCACUGCGUUACCAUGGCACCCAUAGGAGAAGAAUCGAGCCAUUUGGCCCAUUGAGCAUUUAUUUUCCCUCUCAACCCCAUUCUCCUGCCUUCUCCCAGUAGCCUUUGAUGCCUCGAUUAAUCAAGAACCUAUCAACCAAAUGGCCUGUCUGUGGCAAUGAAUUCCACACAUUCGCCACCCUCUGGCUAAAGAAAUUCCUCCUCACCUUUGGAAUUUUAUUCGUAUGUGUAGUUCUCUGACCCAGGCAGCAUCCUGGUGAAACUCUUCUGCAGCCUUUCCAAAGCCUCCACACCCUAUAAUGGGGCACUCGGUGCUCUAUGGAAGUUUUAUACAACAGCAACCUUGCUUUCUGUCCUUUACACUCAACAUACAUGCCUCAGCCUCCUUUACCCUCCUGCCCACUGGAUUCCCCCCUUUCGGGAUGCUGUGGACUUGUACCCUGAAGACCCUUUUAUACAUCAAUUUUUAC